CACCAGCGCCACGAGUGGCGAUCACGAUUAUUGGGCCUAAAGCGUCCGUAGUCGGCUUUGUACAUCUUCUGUGAAAUCGCUGCGCUUAACGUAGCGGCAUGCGGAAGACACGGCAGAGCUUGAGACCGGGAGGCGUGAAGGGUACUCCCAGGGGACCGGUAAAAUGGUAUAAUCCUGGGAAGACCACCUGUGGCGAAGGCGCUUCACGAGAACGGAUCUGACGAUGAGGGACGAAAGCCAGGGGAGCAAACCGG
rnacentral:rRNA from 1 species